GUGUUACUGACGCUAAAGCUCGAAAGUGCGGGUAUCGAACAGGAUUAGAUACCCUGGUAGUCCGCACGGUAAACGAUGGAUGCCCGCUGUUUGCCCUUCGGGGUGAGUGGCUAAGCGAAAGCGUUAAGCAUCCCACCUGGGGAGUACGCCGGCAACGGUGAAACUCAAAGGAAUUGACGGGGGCCCGCACAAGCGGAGGAACAUGUGGUUUAAUUCGAUGAUACGCGAGGAACCUUACCCGGGCUUGAAUUGCAGAUGACGGAUCUAGAGAUAGUGACUUCCUUCGGGACAUCUGUGAAGGUGCUGCAUGGUUGUCGUCAGCUCGUGCCGUGAGGUGUCGGCUUAAGUGCCAUAACGAGCGCAACCCUUCUCUUCAGUUGCCAUCAGGUUAAGCUGGGCACUCUGGAGACACUGCCACCGUAAGGUGUGAGGAAGGUGGGGAUGACGUCAAAUCAGCACGGCCCUUACGUCCGGGGCUACACACGUGUUACAAUGGCCGGUACAGAAAGUCGGAUGCCCGUAAGGUCAUUCUAAUCAAGAAAGCCGGUCCCAGUUCGGACUGAGGUCUGCAACCCGACCUCACGAAGCUGGAUUCGCUAG
rnacentral:rRNA from 1 species